ACUCACAUGAUAUUGUUUUACAUGUAUAUAUUAUUAUUGCAUGUAUGUCCCUAUUUCGCGGAAAUUCGUUUAUCGCAGCUGAUCAUGGCACCUAUCCCCCGCGAUAAACGAGGGAACACUGUACACCUUUGCAGCUGAGACCCAGGCCAUUCAUCUGGCAAUUGCUGCCAUUGAGGCAGAAUAUGCUUAUCAACUGCAACAAGACAGAACAGUUUUGUUGUUUGCAAAGAUGCAUUAAUGGUUUUUAUAAGGCUAAAUAGUAGCACCUUGAAAUUCCAGCCAGAGAAAUAUGUGCUGGGUCAUUCACGCUGUUAGCUGCUGAUCAAAAGAUCAUCUUUUUCUCCUUUCACAAUGAUAGUUGUUAUAAUACUUCCCCACCACCACUACUCUCUAAGAAAAAAUUAUGACAUAGUUGUGUUACAUGACAAAAUCUUGAAAUAUCGAUCUAAAAUAUCUUUUCUGUGCUUUAACUUUGUUGACCUCAAAAUAAUUGGAAAGUGCUUCAUUUCAUCAAUGUUGCUUCUCACUGAUGCACUUUGAAUUUUGUGAAUGUUAAUUAGGUUUUGGCUUUGAGAACAUCUGAAGAAUAAUAAGGUAUGUAUUAUUUUUAUUAGGUGGUGAACUGUACCAAAGUAAGGAAUGGGCAACUACAUUUUCAGUUUUCCUGCUUUGUCCUCACCAAUAAGAAAUUUUAUGCUAUAGAUAUCUAUUAUGUAACAUGGAUAUGAUAUUACAUCUUCACAUUUAUUGUACAGUGGCUGUUUUGGGAUAAUUUCCAUGGAAGUCAAUGGAUCAUCCAUUCAUGUUGUGACUAAUACCAACUGACCACCAGUUAAGGUGGUCUUCUGGCAAAGCUCACCAAUUAUCUUCAGCAUCAAGCAAGUUUUGCCUGUUCUACCUCUGCCUAUCUCAGCGCCAACCACUACACCAUGAGGGGGCAAUGCCUACCAUUUGGCCUGGCAUAACCAAAGUAGCUGUAACAGGACACGAAAUUCAGCAAAUAUUCUGGCCUUUCCAUGCUUGAUCACUGUCAACAUCAUGGAGGACAUCUAACUGCCUUUGUUGCGUAAGUAUUUGCUUAUACUUUAGCCUAGAGUUUUGAGUACACAUGGCACCUGACAGACAUGAAGACAGCAAUUAAAAGCGAGGUUCUAAAG